rnacentral:rRNA from 1 species
GAUGAACGCUGGCGGCGUGCCUAAUACAUGCAAGUCGAACGCAUUGUGGUUGAAAUGAUAUGAAGAACUUGUUCAGAUUUGACUUUCAACAUUGCAAUGAGUGGCGAACGGGUGAGUAACACGUGGGAAACCUACCUCUUAGCAGGGGAUAACAUUUGGAAACAAAUGCUAAUACCGUAUAAUAAUUAAAACCGCAUGGUUUUAGUUUAAAAGAUGGUCUUGCUAUCACUAAGAGAUGGUCCCGCGGUGUAUUAGUUAGUUGGUGAGGUAAUGGCUCACCAAGACAAUGAUACAUAGCCGAGUUGAGAGACUGACCGGCCACAAUGGGACUGAGACACGGCCCAUACUCCUACGGGAGGCAGCAGUAGGGAAUCUUCCACAAUGGACGAAAGUCUGAUGGAGCAACGCCGCGUGUGUGAUGAAGGGUUUCGGCUCGUAAAACACUGUUGUAAGAGAAGAAUGACAUUGAGAGUAACUGUUCAAUGUGUGACGGUAUCUUACCAGAAAGGAACGGCUAAAUACGUGCCAGCAGCCGCGGUAAUACGUAUGUUCCAAGCGUUAUCCGGAUUUAUUGGGCGUAAAGCGAGCGCAGACGGUUAUUUAAGUCUGAAGUGAAAGCCCUCGGCUCAACCGAGGAAUUGCUUUGGAAACUGGAUAACUUGAGUGCAGUAGAAGAAAGUGGAACUCCAUGUGUAGCGGUGAAAUGCGUAGAUAUAUGGAAGAACACCAGUGGCGAA